rnacentral:rRNA from 1 species
GGCGGCGUGCCUAAUACAUGCAAGUCGAGCGAGCGGGACCAACAGAUUUACUUCGGUAAUGACGUUGGGAAAGCGAGCGGCGGAUGGGUGAGUAACACGUGGGGAACCUGCCCCUAAGUCUGGGAUACCAUUUGGAAACAGGUGCUAAUACCGGAUGAUAAAGCAGAUCGCAUGAUCAGCUUUUGAAAGGCGGCGUAAGCUGUCGCUAAGGGAUGGCCCCGCGGUGCAUUAGCUAGUUGGUAAGGUAACGGCUUACCAAGGCGACGAUGCAUAGCCGAGUUGAGAGACUGAUCGGCCACAUUGGGACUGAAACACGGCCCAAACUCCUACGGGAGGCAGCAGUAGGGAAUCUUCCACAAUGGACGCAAGUCUGAUGGAGCAACGUCGCGUGAGUGAAGAAGGUUUUCGGAUCGUAAAGCUCUGUUGUUGGUGAAGAAGGAUAGAGGUAGCAACUGGCCUUUAUUUGACGGUAAUCAACCAGAAAGUCACGGCUAACUACGUG